CUCUGAUAAUAGUAUGUUUUAGAAUUGAAAACCUCAGCAAACUGUAGCAUUUUAAUUGAUAAACAUAAUCUUCAAAAAAAGAAAAAAUCUGCAGCAAAAUCCUUCAUAAUGUGAAAUGUUAAACAUUUUGUCUGUAAGAUAAAAUAUGAGGCUAGAUUACUUAAGAUAGAAUGUGUUCAUAAAUUGAAAACUUAAAUUUAUAAAGAUGUUCAUUUUCCUAAAUUCAUCUGUUGACUACAAUAUCAAUCAUAGUUCCACCUGUUGUUUCCUGACUUUUUAAUGAUUGCCAUUCUAACUGGUGUGAGAUGAUAUCUCAUAGUGGUUUUGAUUUGCAUUUCUCUGAUGGCCAGUGAUGAUGAGCAUUUUUUCAUGUGUUUUUUGGCUGCAUAAAUGUCUUCUUUUGAGAAGUGUCUGUUCAUGUCCUUUGCCCACUUUUUGAUGGGGUUGUUUGUUUUUUUCUUGUAAAUUUGUUUGAGUUCAUUGUAGAUUCUGGAUAUUA
rnacentral:lncRNA from 10 species